rnacentral:rRNA from 1 species
UUGAACGCUGGCGGCAUGCUUUACACAUGCAAGUCGAACGGCAGCGCGGGGCAACCUGGCGGCGAGUGGCGAACGGGUGAGUAAUAUAUCGGAACGUACCCAGAAGUGGGGGAUAACGUAGCGAAAGUUACGCUAAUACCGCAUACGAUCUACGGAUGAAAGUGGGGGACCUUCGGGCCUCAUGCUUUUGGAGCGGCCGAUAUCUGAUUAGCUAGUUGGUGAGGUAAAGGCUCACCAAGGCGACGAUCAGUAGCUGGUCUGAGAGGACGACCAGCCACACUGGAACUGAGACACGGUCCAGACUCCUACGGGAGGCAGCAGUGGGGAAUUUUGGACAAUGGGCGCAAGCCUGAUCCAGCAAUGCCGCGUGAGUGAAGAAGGCCUUCGGGUUGUAAAGCUCUUUUGUCAGGGAAGAAACGGCUGGGGCUAAUAUCCCCGGCUAAUGACGGUACCUGAAGAAUAAGCACCGGCUAACUACGU